CUGGAAGUAGCUUAUUUAAAGUUUGGGAUUCUUACUCCCAGGAUGUACUGUUUCGAGG
rnacentral:tRNA from 1 species